rnacentral:rRNA from 1 species
UACGGAGGGUGCAAGCGUUAAUCGGAAUCACUGGGCGUAAAGCGCACGUAGGUGGUUUGUCAAGUCAGAUGUGAAAGCCCCGGGCUCAACCUGGGAACUGCAUUUGAAACUGUCAGACUGGAGUCCGGUAGAGGGGGGUGGAAUUCCAGGUGUAGCGGUGAAAUGCGUAGAGAUCUGGAGGAACACCAGUGGCGAAGGCGACCCCCUGGACCGAGACUGACGCUGAGGUGCGAAAGCGUGGGGAGCAAACAGG